AUUGAACGCUGGCGGCAGGCCUAACACAUGCAAGUCGAACGAGUGGCGGACGGGUGAGUAAUGUCUGGGAAACUGCCUGAUGGAGGGGGAUAAAUCCUGGAAACGGUAGCUAAUACCGCAUACCAUCGGAUGUUCCCAGCUGGGAUUAGCUAGUAGGUGGGGGAAAGGCUCACCUAGGCGACGAUCCCUAGCUGGUCUGAGAGGAUGACCAGCCACACUGGAACUGAGACACGGGCCAGAAUCCUACGGGAGGCAGCAGUGGGGAAUAUUGCACAAUGGGCGCAAGCCUGAUGCAGCCAUGCCGCGUGUAUGAAGAAGGCCUUCGGGGUGUAAAGUACUUUCAGCGGGGAGGCGUUACCUGCAGAAGAAGCACCGGCUAACUCCGUGCCAGCAGCCGCGGUAAUAC
rnacentral:rRNA from 1 species